rnacentral:rRNA from 1 species
GAACGAGAAAGUGGGAGCAAUCCCAUGAGUAAAGUGGCGCACGGGUGAGUAACACGUGACUAACCUACCCUGGAGUGGGGGAUAACUGAGGGAAACCUUAGCUAAUACCGCAUAAUACCCACGGGUCAAAGGAGCAAUUCGCUCUAGGAGGGGGUCGCGGCCGAUUAGUUAGUUGGCAGGGUAACGGCCUACCAAGACGAUGAUCGGUAUCCGGCCUGAGAGGGCGCACGGACACACUGGAACUGAAACACGGUCCAGACUCCUACGGGAGGCAGCAGUGGGGAAUUUUGCGCAAUGGGGGAAACCCUGACGCAGCAACGCCGCGUGGAGGAUGAAGUCCUUCGGGACGUAAACUCCUUUCGAUCGGGACGAUUAUGACGGUACCGGAAGAAGAAGCCCCGGCUAACUUCGUGCCAGCAGCCGCGGUAAUACGAGGGGGGCGAGCGUUGUUCGGAAUUAUUGGGCGUAAAGGGUGCGUAGGCGGUUUGGUAAGUCUCAUGUGAAAUCUAUGGGCUCAACUCAUAGACUGCAUGAGAAACUGCCGGGCUUGAGUGUGGGAGAGGUGAGUGGAAUUCCCGGUGUAGCGGUGAAAUGCGUANAUAUCGGGAGGAACACCUGUGGCGAAAGCGGCUCACUGGACCACAACUGACGCUGAUGCACGAAAGCUAGGGGAGCAAACAGGAUUAGAUACCCUGGUAGUCCUAGCCCUAAACCAUGACUGCUUGGCGUGACGGGUACCCAAUCCCGCCGUGCCGAAGCUAACGCGAUAAGCAGUCCGCCUGGGGAGUACGGUCGCAAGGCUGAAACUCAA